GGGGGUGUAGCUCAGUUUGGGAGAGCGUCUGCUUUGCACGCAGAAGGCCAGCGGUUCGACUCCGCUCAUCUCCA
rnacentral:tRNA from 1 species